rnacentral:rRNA from 1 species
AGGUUCAGCGGGUGAAAGCCCGUGGCCGCAAGGCGACUCGCACAGAUGCUGCAUGGCCGUCGUCAGCUCGUGUCGUGAGAUGUUGGGUUAAGUCCCGCAACGAGCGCAACCCCUGUGGGCAGUUGCACGUUUCUGCCCAGACUGCCGUUUGAAUGCGGAGGAAGGCGGGGAUGACGUCAAGUCAGCAUGGCUCUUACGCCUUGGGCGACACACACGCUACAAUGGCCGGGACAGAGCGUCGCCAACCCGCGAGGGGGAGCCAAUCGCACAAACCCGGUCUCAGUUCGGAUUGGGGGCUGCAACUCGCCCCCAUGAAGUCGGAGUUGCUAGUAACCGUGGGUCAGCCAUACCGCGGUGAAUGUGUUCCCGGGCCUUGUACACACCGCCCGUCACGUCAUGGGAGUUGGCAACACCUGAAGCCGGUGCCCGAACCGCAAGGACGGAGCCGUCGAGGGUGGGGCCGAUGACUGGGACGAAGUCGUAACAAGGUAGC